rnacentral:lncRNA from 1 species
CUGCUGUGGAACCAGGUGGGACAGAAACUUGGUCUCCACAGAGGUAACCAGCUGCAUGAAAGGUUAGCACUGGUUGAAAUUUAUUUCAGCAUAUAUAGAAAUGCAAGGAAACAGGAGAUAAGAAAGCAAGAAACCCAAAAUUCUUGCCAAGGAAUUAGGAAGUGAGAAGACUCUACCACCACUGUUCACAUGGCCAAAGGAGUUCUCAAGAGGAAUUUUGUUAGGUUCUGACUGCUUCCAUGCUAUGCUCACUUUCUGCUAGGCACUACAUAGUGGACAGCACUGGUUUUCUUCAAUUUGUAAGUUGUACCUCCUUCUGUUCAAGUUGUGACUAAAACCACUUUCCAACAGUUCC